rnacentral:rRNA from 1 species
CCCUUAGAUGUUCUGGGCCGCACGCGCGCUACACUGAUGCCUUCAACGAGUCUAAAACCUGGUCUGAUAGGGCUGGGUAAUCUUUUGAAUGUGCAUCGUGAUUGGGAUAGAUGAUUGCAAUUCUUCAUCUUCAACGAGGAAUGCCUAGUAAACGCAAGUCAUCAGCUUGCAUUGAUUACGUCCCUGCCCUUUGUACACACCGCCCGUCGCUCCUACCGAUUGAAUGUUCCGAUGAAUACCAUGGACUGAGAGUAUGAAUGGGUUCGCCUAUUUCUGCUUCUCGGGAAGUGGAGUAAAUCUUAACAUUUAGAGGAAGGAGAAGUCGUAACA